GCUCAAUGGUAGAGUGCUUGCCUUGCAUGCAUGAGGCCCUGGGUUCAAUUUCUCAG
rnacentral:tRNA from 1 species